rnacentral:rRNA from 1 species
AUUGAACGCUGGCGGAAUGCUUUACACAUGCAAGUCGAACGGCAGCACGGGGGCAGCCCUGGUGGCGAGUGGCGAACGGGUGAGUAAUACAUCGGAACGUGCCCGGUCGUGGGGGAUAACGUAGCGAAAGUUACGCUAAUACCGCAUACGAUCUGAGGAUGAAAGCGGGGGACCUUCGGGCCUCGCGCGAUCGGAGCGGCCGAUGUCAGAUUAGGUAGUUGGUGGGGUAAAGGCCUACCAAGCCGACGAUCUGUAGCUGGUCUGAGAGGACGACCAGCCACACUGGGACUGAGACACGGCCCAGACUCCUACGGGAGGCAGCAGUGGGGAAUUUUGGACAAUGGGCGCAAGCCUGAUCCAGCCAUUCCGCGUGCAGGACGAAGGCCUUCGGGUUGUAAACUGCUUUUGUACGGAACGAAAAGGCUCUGACUAAUACCUGGGGCUCAUGACGGUACCGUAAGAAUAAGCACCGGCUAACUACGUG